rnacentral:tRNA from 1 species
UGUGAUUUAGUUUAAGAGAGCAGUAAAUUUUGAUUUUAAAGGAAGUGGUUUAAUUCCACUGUUCAUAA